rnacentral:rRNA from 1 species
AUUGAACGCUGGCGGCAUGCCUUACACAUGCAAGUCGAACGGCAGCGGACCUUCGGGUGCCGGCGAGUGGCGAACGGGUGAGUAAUAUAUCGGAACGUACCUUUCAGUGGGGGAUAACGUAGCGAAAGUUACGCUAAUACCGCAUAUUCUGUGAGCAGGAAAGCAGGGGAUCGCAAGACCUUGCGCUGAUUGAGCGGCCGAUAUCAGAUUAGCUAGUUGGUGAGGUAAAGGCUCACCAAGGCGACGAUCUGUAGCGGGUCUGAGAGGAUGAUCCGCCACACUGGAACUGAGACACGGUCCAGACUCCUACGGGAGGCAGCAGUGGGGAAUUUUGGACAAUGGGCGCAAGCCUGAUCCAGCCAUGCCGCGUGAGUGAAGAAGGCCUCGGUUGUAAAG